rnacentral:rRNA from 1 species
AACGAACGCUGGCGGCAGGCUUAACACAUGCAAGUCGAACGCACCUUUCGGGGUGAGUGGCAGACGGGUGAGUAACGCGUGGGAAUCUACCCUUCUCUACGGGAUAGCUCCGGGAAACUGGAAUUAAUACCGUAUACGUCCUGAGGGAGAAAGAUUUAUCGGGGAAGGAUGAGCCCGCGUUGGAUUAGCUAGUUGGUGGGGUAAAGGCCUACCAAGGCGACGAUCCAUAGCUGGUCUAAGAGGAUGAUCAGCCGCAUUGGGACUGAGACACGGCCCAAACUCCUACGGGAGGCAGCAGUGGGGAAUAUUGGACAAUGGGCGCAAGCCUGAUCCAGCCAUGCCGCGUGAGUGAUGAAGGCCCUAGGGUUGUAAAGCUCUUUCAGUGGGGACGAUAAUGACGGUACCCACAGAAGAAGCCCCGGCUAACUUCGUG